GUUCGUGGAGUGAUCUGUCUGCUUAAUUGCGUUUCACCAUGGAUCUAUAUUAACGUGUGUGGUUUCUCUUUGCGAAUGUUACCGCAGCUUGCUGACUGGUCUUCGCAUUUGAGAGGAAUUAGCGCACAUUAGGUCCUGAAAGCAACGAACGUGACCGCAUCCUCUUGUUGCCUUUUAAUACUUGCACGGGCACCUUAGUGUGUCUUUCGUGCUAACAAAAAGAGGCUCUUGAAAACUAGAGGGACCGCUGCGACUUUUUUAAACCAGAGGAAGGUUGCGGCAAUAACAGG
rnacentral:rRNA from 1 species